GUGGUGACUCGGCCCCAUUUUAAGACAUACCUGCUUUGUGGAAAUUCACUGGAUAUGUACAUAUAACCUGAAGGGUGAUGUUUCACUCUGUCUUCAUCACUCUCUCCAAGCAAGGAUCUUCAUGUGUGAGGGGGACAGUUUUGCACAUGUGCAGUGAGGUUUUCCCUCCAGUAAAUGUGCUGUGAGAAACACUCCCCGGAGGUAAGAGGCAGUACUGCAACUCAACCACAACCAUGAAUACAAAUAAAUUAUUAUUAAAGAUAGUGUGAAAUGAAUAGAAAAUAAUCCAAAUCAGACCAAAAGUCAGCCUGCUGCAUCAUAAACCACCUUUAUAUAUUUCUAUUUGUGAUGACUUUCAGAUUGAGGUCAGAGUUUGAUAUAGAACAGUGACGUUCUUGUUGUCAUUUCCAACUGUGUCUCUGUAAUGAGAGCACCCUCACUGAUGAUGUCAGCACUUGCGCCAGGAGCAAUUUGCAUUCGGUC
ensembl:lncRNA